GAAGGUGUAGUCAAACGGUAAGACAACAGACUUUGAUUCUGUGAUUGUGGGUUCAAUCCCCACCGCCUUUGCCA
rnacentral:tRNA from 1 species